AACGCCGCGUGAGUGAUGAAGGCCUUCGGGUCGUAAAGCUCUGUCAGAGGGAAAGAAGUGUACGGUGGUUAAUACCCGCAGUACUUGACGGUACCCUCAAAGGAAGCACCGGCUAACUCCGUGCCAGCAGCCGCGGUAAUA
rnacentral:rRNA from 1 species